rnacentral:rRNA from 1 species
CCGGCGCACGGGUGAGUAACACGUAUCCAACCUGCCGUCUACUCUUGGACAGCCUUCUGAAAGGAAGAUUAAUACAAGAUGGCAUCAUGAGUCCGCAUGUUCACAUGAUUAAAGGUAUUCCGGUAGACGAUGGGGAUGCGUUCCAUUAGAUAGUAGGCGGGGUAACGGCCCACCUAGUCUUCGAUGGAUAGGGGUUCUGAGAGGAAGGUCCCCCACAUUGGAACUGAGACACGGUCCAA